CCUACGGGAGGCAGCAGUGAGGAAUAUUGGUCAAUGGGCGUAAGCCUGAACCAGCCAAGUCGCGUGAGGGAUGAAGGUUCUAUGGAUCGUAAACCUCUUUUAUAAGGGAAUAAAGUGUGGGACGUGUCCUAUUUUGUAUGUACCUUAUGAAUAAGGAUCGGCUAACUCCGUGCCAGCAGCCGCGGUAAUACGGAGGAUCCGAGCGUUAUCCGGAUUUAUUGGGUUUAAAGGGUGCGUAGGCGGCCUUUUAAGUCAGCGGUGAAAGUCGGUGGCUCAACAAUAGAAUUGACGUUGAAACUGGGGGGCUUGAGUAUGUUUGAGGCAGGCGGAAUGCGUGGGGUAGCGGUGAAAUGCUGAGAUAUCACGCAGAACCACGAUUGCGAAGGCAGCCUGCCAAGCCAUGACUGACGCUGAUGCACGAAAGCGUGGGGAUCAAACAGGAUUAGAUACCCCGGUAGUC
rnacentral:rRNA from 1 species